GACGAACGCUGGCGGCGUGCCUAAUACAUGCAAGUAGGACGCAGUUGCGCACGGGUGAGUAACGCGUAGGUAACUACCUAUUAGAGGGGGAUAACUAUUGGAAACGAUAGCUAAUACCGCAUACUAGUAGAUGGACCUGCGUUGUAUUAGGUAGUAGGUAGGGUACUGGCCUACCUAGGCAACGAUACAUAGCCUAUCUUAGGGGGGUGUCGGCCAAAAUGGGACUUGGAAACGGCCCAGACUCCUGCGGUAGGCAGCAGUAGGGAAUCUGCGGCAAUGGGGGGAACCCUGACCGAGCAACGCAGCGUGAGUGAAGAAGGUUUUCGGAUCGUAAAGCUCUGUUGUUAAGGAAGCGGUACUUAACCAGAAAGGGACGGCUAACUACGUGCCAGCAGCCGCGGUAAUAC
rnacentral:rRNA from 1 species